ensembl:lncRNA
GCCAAAAGGUAAGAGGAGCUCCUUUGGGUUCUGGGCUUGAAGCAAAGCUGAGAAGCCAUGCCCGGGAGGAGGUGUGGGUAGCUACAGGCCACCUUGCUAUCUCCCCAAGAGAUGAGGUGUGUGGGCUAGGCACCGGGCAGGAGUGCUGGCCAGAAGCAAGCAUCUCUGUGGAGGAAGGCAAAGGGCGGAGGAGGUUCAAGGGUAGCUACCGGGCAUGGCCUUGCUCAGCAAGGGGAGGAAAAGCCUGAGGGCACGAGAAGGGGAUAGAGAAGGGCAGGCAGUAGGCGUGAAGCUGCGAGCAGAGUAGAGAGCAACUUGGCAGAGCAGCAAGCAGAGUAGGCAAGUGUUGAGGUUUGGCGUGAGUAGCAGCAAAAGCCCAGAGCAUCAAGAAGCAGGAAGUGAGAGA